GUGAAAUUGGUCUCAAAAUAUUCCUUGGCUUAUGCCGACAACAUAGAUACCAAAUAUGCCAGAGUUCGCUGAACUUCCUGUCCGCCAUUUUGAUUUAUGUUGAAAGCCUACUUUAUCGAACUCCUCAUCAACCGUUGGUCCGAUUUUCACCAAAAUUGAAUCAGAUGAUCUUCAGACUGUGCUGACAAAAUGUUAUGGAUUUUGUAUUGAUAGACAAAACCGUUUUCGCAUACCACAGUGACGAAUUACAAGCAUGAUGCCAAAAUGACACUUCAGCCUGUAUCUCUGCAAUGCUUUGGCAUACUGACACCAAACUUUGUGUGUGCCAUUGUCACCUCACACAGAACACACCAAAAUGAUUUGAUUACAGCGCCACCUGUUGGUCAAAAGUGAUAAGUCAUUUAAUCAUAAUACUAGUGCUUGUAUUUAUGAUUUUUCUGCCAUUUCAAUUACAAUCAUCCUAAAAUUGCUGUAAUUGCUCAUUGUUGCAUUUGGUGUGAUGCUCCAUGCCAUGCUUAGCUCCUCAAUUUGCCGCUGGAGUGCUUGGCCCCGCAAUUGCUGCUUGCAGCUAUAUUUAGGGGCCAAGCACCGAAGGUGCGUAGGCACCUAUUGUAUCCGUUGGCGUUAUUCUUCUUCUUCUUCUUCUUCUUCUUCUUCUUCUUCUUCUUCCGCCGCAAGUCUAUGGCAGCCCAUAGAACCGAUUGCGGGAAAGUUGUAUAAUUUGGCACACUGAUAGAGGACAGUCCCAGCAUUAACUAUAGCUAAUUUGAAGUCUCUAUCUUCUACUCUCUAGCGCCACCACUAUUCCAAAAUUUCAAUAUUUUUAUGCUAAUAACUUUUGAACCGUAAGCCACAAAAUGAAAAUUCUUUUUUCCUCUGAAUCCUUGGCUCAGGCCAAGUCGAAUGAACCCCGAAAUUCAAAAAUCGCAAGGUUUAGUUUUUUCGCUAUUUUCAAUUGUUCGAAAAACCUACUUUUACGAACUCGUCCUAGACGGUUAGUCCGAUUUUCACGAAAAUUGGCUCAGAUCAUCUUCAGACGAUGCCGGCAAAAAGUUAUGGAAUUCAAGUUGAUUUGUCCAACCGUUCUCGAAUACCACGCGAACAAAUUCUACGAAAAGCACGCAAAAAUGCUUGUGAGGCUAUAACUCCGCAACGGUUUGGCGUAUUGAGACCAAACUUGGUGUGUGUUGUAACAAGCAUGACCUGAGAUUACCUGCAGUGUUUCGACGCAGCGCCACCUAGUGGUUAGGAGAUAUGAAAAAUGCAUAUUUUUGCUUAUAACUUCUGAAUGGUUUGGCAAAAAAUAAUAAAACUGGUCUCAUUAGAUUCGGUCGGUCAUGUCGAGUCGAAGGAUAUCCAAUUUUCCCGUGUCGGCCAUUUUAGGUGUCGGCCAUUUUGAAUUACAUUUCAAAAUGCUGUAUUUUUUGAACGCAUUAUCGUAUCAUUACAAAAAUAAUUACAAAAAUGUUUGGCUCCAUGCCCUGAAGGUACUCAAAAAGUUUGGGGGCAGCGCCACCUUGUGGUCAAAAGUUAAAAUGAAUUAUCUAAAAAAUGCUAAUAACUUUUAAAUAAAUUAGACUAUUGAAAUGAAAAUGGUCUCCAUAUAUUCUUUGUGUCAUGCCGAGAACAUCGAUACCAAUUAUUCCAAAAUUGGCAAUACUUCCUGUCCGCCAUUUUGAUUAAAGUUGAAAACCUACUUUUUCGAACUCCUCCUAG
ensembl:lncRNA